CAGAGAUAUACCGGGAAGAAGGAGGAAGUCAGUCAGAGAAUUGCGUUAUACGGAGUUGUACUGCUACCAGCCAAGAAUGCCAAUGACUCCCAGUAACCAUUAGAAGCUAGAAGGGGGGAAGAAGAAAUCUCACUAGAGCCUUCAGAGAGAAUAUGGCCCUGCUGAAACAUUGAUUUCAGACUUAAAGCCUCCAAAACAAGACUGUCAAUGAAGGAACCAAGAGCCCAUGGCAAAUGGGUGGGCACAUGACCCAAGCCAGGGAAAUCAGAAUAUUAUUACUUUACAUGUUUCUGGCUGAGCUAUGGGAAACGAUUCUCUCUAUCUACUAAGGAAGCAUCAUGAAAUUUGACCUCUUCAGCCGUGCAUGGUUAACACUCAGAUAACCCAUCUCCUUGAGAAGAACCCCUGAUGAAAAAGAAAUCCUCUCCAAAUCAAUAUCUUCAUUCAUCACUACACUACAUGUUCUAUUUUCCUUCCUCCAUUUCUCAGAGGAAGGAGUUCUAUUACUUGCCAUUGAUCUUAAAAUUAUAGUUAUCCUCCACUGUGCUGCCAUCCAUAAUUUCAUGUCCUUCAUUUGUGGCUUUGUUUUCAAUGGCUAUAAGCAUUUUCAAUUUUGUCCCAUUAUAACAAGGCUGUCACUCAAUACUGUCUGGAAUCAUUCAGCAUAUACCCUCUCCUUCCCUUCGUUGCUGAAUUUCUCAAAAGAGUAUUACCUUCUUUCAUUUAUCUGAACUCAUACAUACUUUUAAUCGCAGCUAUUCUACUUUCAUUAGAGUUUACUGCAACUAUCUCUGUAAACAUUUCCAGUGACCUCUUAAGUAUAAGUGAAAUCAUUUCAUAUCAGACAUAAUCCUCCAUGCCUUCAAGAAACAUUGAACACCUCCAAUCUUUAUGCUUAAAACUCUCUCUCUCUCUCUCUCUCUCUCUCUCUCUCUCAAUAUCUUGCUAUCUCACUACUUCUAUCUCUAAUUUGGUUCAGUGACUCUUGACUUGCUUGAGUCUCAUAUCUCUCCUUCCUUCAUUCCAGCCUUUUGCUUUUAGAAUAGCUUCCACCUUUGCCUGUAUCUAUUCACCUUUUCCAGUUUUCCAUUUAAUUCCAUGCAUUUAACAGAAUACUAGUUGUUAACCUAACUCAAAGGAUUUGGGGGAUGAUUACAUGGAAUAAUGUGUAUGAUGCAAUGGCUAUGAUCCAUGGGCCUGUAAUGCCCCCAAAAUGUGUGUUGCUGCCUCUAUCUCCUUUCAACAUCCUGAUGCAAUAUUUUUCUAAAUGUGAAUAUUACUUAAUACGCCCAUGCAAGUUCUUUAAUUUUUCCUUAGGAAAAUAGACUUCAGAGAUAAAGCUGAUUGUAGAUGAGGUACAAUAAUUGUUAAUUUCCUUGGAAAAUUCUAAUUGAAAAUUGGUAAAUUCAGUGGUUGGAAUAAGUAUGCACAGAGUAAAGGCAAUAAAAAAUAUAGUUCAGCCUGCAACUACACUUGCCAGUUCUUUUUAUGUAUAAUGUAAUCAUGUGGAAAGGCUUUUAAAAUAAGCACGCCUGUGUAUUCACUGCAAAUUAGUCUGUCAAUUGAAUUUUUACAGGUGCUUCUGAAUAAUCCAUUUCGUCUGGCUUAAUUACAUAAUUUUAAAAGUGUACAGGUUUCUGAUAAAAGAGAACACAUUGUUAGGAUGUAAUCUAUUUAUUACCCCUUGUACUUCCCUUUAUUGUGCUUUUUUUUGGCUUUCCAAUUUUAAGCAAUAACAAUAAUACUCUGCAAAAAAAUAAAGACUUUAUUGUAUUUUCUG
rnacentral:lncRNA from 1 species